rnacentral:rRNA from 1 species
UACGAAGGGGGCUAGCGUUGCUCGGAAUCACUGGGCGUAAAGCGCACGUAGGCGGACUCUUAAGUCGGUGGUGAAAUCCUGGAGCUCAACUCCAGAACUGCCUUCGAUACUGGGAGUCUCGAGUCCGAGAGAGGUGAGUGGAACUGCGAGUGUAGAGGUGAAAUUCGUAGAUAUUCGCAAGAACACCAGUGGCGAAGGCGGCUCACUGGCCCGAUACUGACGCUGAGGCACGAAAGCGUGGGGAGCAAACGGG